AUUGCGUCAUUUCUUUCUUUAGCGAGUGACGCAAAUGACUAUUAUGGUUUAUAUGUACUCUAGUUGCCUUCCGCCGUUCGAACAUCAAAACUCCAAACCCCAGAAAAUUCAACCCCAAAAUUCCCUGAAAUUCAACAUCAAAACCCCAAAAAAUUGAUCAGUAAAACCACAGAAUUCCCCAUUGUUGCUUUGCUGCUGUUAAACCCCCAAAACAUUAGCGAAUAAACACUAAUCGAAAAUCCCAGCAAAUGUGAGGCAAAAUCGAAAAUCCCAUAACCUACAAAUUCAACCACUAAUAAAAAAUCCCUGCAAAUGUGAGGCAAAAUCCCUUAUAUACGAGCAAAUCCGAGCCAAAAAUCCCCUAUUUUCGACCAAAUAUAUACCCAAAACCGAACAUAAUUGUGAGAAAAUUGAAGUUUGAAUUUCGAAUUUAGGGUUCAUUUUUUGGUGCUACGAUUGCAAUAGAUGUUGCACACAGAUCUAAGCAAAGAGGUUUGAUUUUCGUUCAAUUUAAUAGCAAUUUGUUACGAUUCUCUUAAAGUUAGGGUUCGUACUCAAUAACAUGGAAUUUUGGAUCUAUUGUUGCUGAAGUUGCAAAAUCGAUUUUAUGCAAGAGAAGCUCUUUCCCAUAUUUUUAGCCCAAAAAUGUUCCAUGAUAUACUUAGCCGUGAAUAGAUAAACUAUGAUAUAGUGUUUAUAUUGAAAUAAUUUUACCAGGCCGUUUUGUUAAAAAUAAACGGCCACCCCCAGCCCUGCCUUACAACCCUCAAGAAUAUGAGCAUCCGAGUUUACUUUAACACACCCAAGGCACGGUUUCUUCCAGCUUGUAGCAGCAUCAUUUUGUCUCAGAACAGAGGGGGGCAGCAGAACCUUUUUAGCAUAGCCAUUGUAAUCAUGAACUAGCCUUGCAAACUCCGCAGCCAGUAGCACACUAUUCGGAUUCUCACCUUGAAAUACAACCGGUGGCAAGGUUUACUAUUCUCAACAAACUCUCCAAUAUAGGGAUCAAAUCUUAUGUUUAUUGACCCUUUCUUUUUAAUGCAAGGCAUGGUAUCAUAAAUCUUCUCAUAGACCGAUGCACUGACCCAGACAAGAACACUAAGAAAUUUGCCUGUUUUGAUAUAGGAAAUGCAGCCUUCCAUAAGGAUUCAUUAUACGAAGAACUUAGGAGCUCAUUCUCUCAACUGACAAAUCUGCUGCUGCUACCUGAGGAGGAUAUCACAAAAUUAAAUGCUGCAGGUGCACUGGGUAAUCUUGUUCGUCACUCUAACCUCCUCUAUGAAGAUAUCGUGUCUCAUGGUGCAAUUCAGAAACUGGUGACUUUAAACUGUUUGCAAGAGAAAAAGGAAGUGGACUUCCAUUAUGGACUUGUUCGUGUUAGGGAAAAUGAAGAUUUUGUCCCUAAAUUGAAUUAUGCUGGCUUCAAAUUCCAUAUUAUUUAUUGGAUUAUUUUGUUAUAGUUCUUAGGCUUGAAAUGAACGCAUUUGGUUUACCAACAUUUGGGUUGGUCUGGUGCUUGUGUUAUACUUAUUAAUGAUGAAGAUGUCAAUAUUGUUUUUUUGUAAACUUAUUUGACAGGUUGCUAAUACAAGGCGCCGUCAUUCCCAAAUUAAUGGGUAGGCUAAAAUACAAAGGAAAUUAUGUCGAAAUUUUUAUUUGA